rnacentral:rRNA from 1 species
CAUUAUUUAUACAAAAUGGAGUGCACUUUAUUGUGGCUCUGAACCUUUCACAUAAUCUUACCCCAAGACUUGUUUGUGUGGCAUCUUUUAGGUGACAUUGCACUCAGGUAUACGUAGCAGUUAUGCUACAUUCUCCCCCCCACCCUUUUUUUUUAACAAUUUUUUUAACACAAGUUUGAGCUAAGAAUGUAAACAUUUAUUAAUUAUAUAAAUAACUUUUAACAAUGGAUCUCUAGGCUCUCAUAUCGAUGAAGAACACAGUGAAAUGUGAUAAGUAAUGUGAAUUGCAGAAUUCAGUGAAUCAUUGAAUCUUUGAACGCACCUUGCACCUUUUGGUAUUCCAAAAGGUACACCUGUUUGAGUGUCAUGAAAAUCUCUCAUCAAAAUAAUUUUUGGUGGAUGUUGAGUGCUGCUGCUAUCUAGCUCACUUUAAAUAUAUAAGUCUUUUUAUUCUUCUGUUUGUUGGAUUGACUUGGUGUAAUAUUUUUAUCAUCAAGGAAAGUAGCAAUACUUGCCAACGUUUUUGGAAAAAGGACUCCUAAAUUGAUUUUAAAUCAUUUUUAUUUUUAAG